rnacentral:rRNA from 1 species
GGGUUGUGAGGUUAAGCGACUAAGCGUACACGGUGGAUGCCCUGGCAGUCAGAGGCGAUGAAGGACGUGCUAAUCUGCGAUAAGCGUCGGUAAGGUGAUAUGAACCGUUAUAACCGGCGAUUUCCGAAUGGGGAAACCCAGUGUGAUUCGUCACACUAUCAUUAACUGAAUCCAUAGGUUAAUGAGGCGAACCGGGGGAACUGAAACAUCUAAGUACCCCGAGGAAAAGAAAUCAACCGAGAUUCCCCCAGUAGCGGCGAGCGAACGGGGAGCAGCCCAGAGCCUGAAUCAGUGUGUGUGUUAGUGGAAGCGUCUGGAAAGGCGCGCGAUACAGGGUGACAGCCCCGUACACAAAAAUGCACAUACUGUGAGCUCGAUGAGUAGGGCGGGACACGUGGUAUCCUGUCUGAAUAUGGGGGACCAUCCUCCAAGGCUAAAUACUCCUGACUGACCGAUAGUGAACCAGUACCGUGAGGGAAAGGCGAAAAGAACCCCGGCGAGGGGAGUGAAAAAGAACCUGAAACCGUGUACGUACAAGCAGUGGGAGCACAGAGCAAUCUGUGUGACUGCGUACCUUUUGUAUAAUGGGUCAGCGACUUAUAUUCUGUAGCAAGGUUAACCGAAUAGGGGAGCCGAAGGGAAACCGAGUCUUAACUGGGCGUUAAGUUGCAGGGUAUAGACCCGAAACCCGGUGAUCUAGCCAUGGGCAGGUUGAAGGUUGGGUAACACUAACUGGAGGACCGAACCGACUAAUGUUGAAAAAUUAGCGGAUGACUUGUGGCUGGGGGUGAAAGGCCAAUCAAACCGGGAGAUAGCUGGUUCUCCCCGAAAGCUAUUUAGGUAGCGCCUCGUGAAUUCAUCUCCGGGGGUAGAGCACUGUUUCGGCAAGGGGGUCAUCCCGACUUACCAACCCGAUGCAAACUGCGAAUACCGGAGAAUGUUAUCACGGGAGACACACGGCGGGUGCUAACGUCCGUCGUGAAGAGGGAAACAACCCAGACCGCCAGCUAAGGUCCCAAAGUCAUGGUUAAGUGGGAAACGAUGUGGGAAGGCCCAGACAGCCAGGAUGUUGGCUUAGAAGCAGCCAUCAUUUAAAGAAAGCGUAAUAGCUCACUGGUCGAGUCGGCCUGCGCGGAAGAUGUAACGGGGCUAAACCAUGCACCGAAGCUGCGGCAGCGACGCUGAUGCGUUGUUGGGUAGGGGAGCGUUCUGUAAGCCUGUGAAGGUGUGCUGUGAGGCAUGCUGGAGGUAUCAGAAGUGCGAAUGCUGACAUAAGUAACGAUAAAGCGGGUGAAAAGCCCGCUCGCCGGAAGACCAAGGGUUCCUGUCCAACGUUAAUCGGGGCAGGGUGAGUCGACCCCUAAGGCGAGGCCGAAAGGCGUAGUCGAUGGGAAACAGGUUAAUAUUCCUGUACUUGGUGUUACUGCGAAGGGGGACGGAGAAGGCUAUGUUGGCCGGGCGACGGUUGUCCCGGUUUAAGCGUGUAGGCUGGUUUUCCAGGCAAAUCCGGAAAAUCAAGGCUGAGGCGUGAUGACGAGGCACUACGGUGCUGAAGCAACAAAUGCCCUGCUUCCAGGAAAAGCCUCUAAGCAUCAGGUAACAUCAAAUCGUACCCCAAACCGACACAGGUGGUCAGGUAGAGAAUACCAAGGCGCUUGAGAGAACUCGGGUGAAGGAACUAGGCAAAAUGGUGCCGUAACUUCGGGAGAAGGCACGCUGAUAUGUAGGUGAAGUCCCUCGCGGAUGGAGCUGAAAUCAGUCGAAGAUACCAGCUGGCUGCAACUGUUUAUUAAAAACACAGCACUGUGCAAACACGAAAGUGGACGUAUACGGUGUGACGCCUGCCCGGUGCCGGAAGGUUAAUUGAUGGGGUUAGCGCAAGCGAAGCUCUUGAUCGAAGCCCCGGUAAACGGCGGCCGUAACUAUAACGGUCCUAAGGUAGCGAAAUUCCUUGUCGGGUAAGUUCCGACCUGCACGAAUGGCGUAAUGAUGGCCAGGCUGUCUCCACCCGAGACUCAGUGAAAUUGAACUCGCUGUGAAGAUGCAGUGUACCCGCGGCAAGACGGAAAGACCCCGUGAACCUUUACUAUAGCUUGACACUGAACAUUGAGCCUUGAUGUGUAGGAUAGGUGGGAGGCUUUGAAGUGUGGACGCCAGUCUGCAUGGAGCCGACCUUGAAAUACCACCCUUUAAUGUUUGAUGUUCUAACGUUGACCCGUGAUCCGGGUUGCGGACAGUGUCUGGUGGGUAGUUUGACUGGGGCGGUCUCCUCCUAAAGAGUAACGGAGGAGCACGAAGGUUGGCUAAUCCUGGUCGGACAUCAGGAGGUUAGUGCAAUGGCAUAAGCCAGCUUGACUGCGAGCGUGACGGCGCGAGCAGGUGCGAAAGCAGGUCAUAGUGAUCCGGUGGUUCUGAAUGGAAGGGCCAUCGCUCAACGGAUAAAAGGUACUCCGGGGAUAACAGGCUGAUACCGCCCAAGAGUUCAUAUCGACGGCGGUGUUUGGCACCUCGAUGUCGGCUCAUCACAUCCUGGGGCUGAAGUAGGUCCCAAGGGUAUGGCUGUUCGCCAUUUAAAGUGGUACGCGAGCUGGGUUUAGAACGUCGUGAGACAGUUCGGUCCCUAUCUGCCGUGGGCGCUGGAGAACUGAGGGGGGCUGCUCCUAGUACGAGAGGACCGGAGUGGACGCAUCACUGGUGUUCGGGUUGUCAUGCCAAUGGCACUGCCCGGUAGCUAAAUGCGGAAGAGAUAAGUGCUGAAAGCAUCUAAGCACGAAACUUGCCCCGAGAUGAGUUCUCCCUGACCCUUUAAGGGUCCUGAAGGAACGUUGAAGACGACGACGUUGAUAGGCCGGGUGUGUAAGCGCAGCGAUGCGUUGAGCUAACCGGUACUAAUGAACCGUGAGGCUUAACCUUACAACGCCGAAGGUGUUU